UUUUUUUUUUUAAUUGGAGGCUACCUAAGUGCUUAAAAAAUAAGAGAUCGGUUAAUAAAAUUAUGAUACAAUUAAAGCAUGCCAAGCUAUGAAUCAACUUAAAAUACUAUAGAAUAAAUAUUAGAUAUGGAAUGAUCUUCCAACAAUACCGGCAAGUGAAGAAAGCAGGGUACGGAGCAUAUGAUUCACAGAUGGAUAACAAGAGAAUGGAUGGGAUUUUCCCACGUGCCUUUAAAUUUUUAGCUCAAAUCCCACACCCCAAAUUCUCAGGCGCUUCCAGGCACACCCUAACAGAUUCCUUCCUGCGGGGGAGGGAAAUUACUGCAGGAGAGACGUCUACGGAAGGAGUGUACCGUGGCCCUUGCCUCUGGUCCUAGUUGGCGGUCACUCCCCUCCCAAACCAAGAGGGGGGCAGCUCAAAGAAAAGUGUUUAGGGACACUGGAGGGAGCCUCAAAACAGGGAGAUUGACAUCUGAGGCUGGGUAUAUGUCCAGCUGCAGAAACUCCCCAUAACUUGCCACAGGGGAGCGCUUUUGAAUGUUGAGGGCAGACGGGAACCCAGAGAUAGGAGCCAAGUUUACGGCUGAAGAAUUUGGACGUCAGAGGCUGGCUAAGGCUUCUGUGGCAGCUGGGUGAGGAGAGGGAGCAGAAAAGGGAGCUACCUCAUUGCCUGUGUUUGUUGGAACAAGGAUGCUAGAGUCCUGGCGGACCCAAGGGGUUGGCGGGAAAGCCAUAUUACAAGGAUGCUGAUCAAGGAGGCUCCGGCAGGGUGGAGAAAACGGGGGGCCUGAAGGGCAGGCGGGACCCCAGAGCCCAGAGCUGGGGGGUCAGCACAGGGGUCAGCCAGAGAGCUCCUGUGGUGUCAGGGGCUGGGAACCCCCACAAAGUUGUCCUCCUACAUAGUGGGCGCUAGGCGGGUGAGAGCCACAAAUGACACCAAGCAGGGGGAAAUUUCUAUUUUUCCCUCCUCGUUACCCUGACCCUGGAGGAGAAAGGGGAUAUCCAAUAAGAAGAAGGACAACAGAUCACAUGCCCUCCCUACCGGGCGGGGGCAUGGGGAGGGUGGUCCCUGGAUCCAUGGCUCCACAGGGAGGAGGGAGAAGCUGGGAAGCGGGCAUGAGAGUAACAGACGGUGGGCAAGGGAGGGGGACUCUUCUUAUUACAACCUGAGUGACUGAACAGCUGUGGGGUCCCUGAGCUCUCAUCCUGGAGGGGAAGGGCUAGGGGUUGAAUUGUGUUCCCCAAAAAGUCAAGUCAGAGUUUUAGCUCCCUGAACCUCAGAACGUGACCUUACUUAGAAACAGGGUUUUUGCAGAGGAUGAAGCUCAGAUGAGGUCACCGGGGUGGACCCUCAUCCACUAUGACUGUGCCCUCGUGGAAAGGGGACAUCUGGACACGGAGACACAGCGACAGGGAGAAGGUCUCGGGAAGAGGAAGGCAGAGGAAAUCCGGGAGAAGCUCGGAGGGGGUGGAGGAGGGGAGGGGCGGGGCUUAGCGGUGAGGGCCCCGCCCCGCCUCCUCGGACGGGAGCCCUGGGGGGUAGUGCUGGCUCGGCGCGCGCGAGCUGGGUGGCUCGGAGCGCCUCUCUCACGCCCAUUUUCUUUCGUCUUUAACGGAGAAGGAAAAACGAGAUACUCUUAGGUUAAGAACGCAACUUCUGGGCCUUGACUCAGCUACGGGGGGUGGGGGGGCUACAUGUCGCUGGAAGUCACACGUGGCGGGGACGGUGGGGUGGGACCGGCUCCAGCUCUAGCGAGACGCACGCCUAGAAGGAGCCAGCGCUCGCUUACGAGUGGAGAGAAAUCGGUGGCGGGGGUCGCCCUCUGAGAGCCAUGGGGGGGCCCUUCCCUCCUCGUGUAUGCCUCUCACACCCUAAAAGCAGGAGACGCCCUCUCCUCCUGCAACACCUUCCCCUAAACCAACUCCUACACGAUCCCGAGGCGAUGACAGCACCCCAGUUCUGUCAGCAGGACCCGGACUGUUUUAGGGGCACUUUGGGGCGGGGGGGGGGGCAUAUUGUGAGGCUCCAACUUCAACCCUAAGCUACCGAGAGGUGCUGGAGAGGGAGCCCUCCUUCCAGGGGGAUUCCUGCUCCCCAGGGCACCUUCUGAAGGAGGCUGACUCUACUCGGGGAUGCCUGGGAUCCGAGGACCGGGGCCAAUUCCGAUCGCCAAAGCGCUGCUCUCCUGCGGGGAACUUACCGUCAGCUGGCGGCUCAGCUCCCGCCUCGAGACUCUCUGGGGGUAGAAACAAGCUUGAAUAUGCAGAUAGGACCGAGCCGCCUGAGCUACGGUCCGAUUCUAAGCCUUUGCAAAGACACUAAGAAAACCUGAAAAUAAAUAGACGACAUGGUGAGAUUCACAUGAAAACAGCAGCAGGGCACUUUACCUCUGAGGGAAAUGGGGGGGGGGGGUCAGGACCAGCCGGAACCCAAGAAGGAGCCCACGUCCAUCAAAGAUGGACGUGCAUGUAAAAGGAUGCUGAGAGAAGGCCUUAGCCCACAGCGGGCAGGGAGGCACGGGCCUCGGCCUAAAACCGUCAGAAACCCACCUCCUCUGACCCCCAAACUCUCCCCCAUAGCCCCAGAGAAGAGGCUGGCCUUCCGGCGCCUGGCUUUAGCCUUAGAAACCCCAGCAGAGGGCCCAGCCAUCCAUCCCACGGGGAUGUUUGAGCUCAGAAGCACGAUGCUUUCCAUCACUAAAUCCACAAUUUGUUAGACAGAGCUAGAAGGGGGAAGGGGGCCUGGAGACCACAGGGACACUCCCUGGGUAGCCAAGACCUAAAGGAGGCGAGUGGCUGCCAAUG
rnacentral:lncRNA from 1 species